UCCCCCCACCCUCUCCCCUCCGUCCUUCCCAUUCUUUUUCCUCCACCCCUAGCCACCACCAUUCCCCUUCCCUUUUUGUCCCCACUUCCAUUGCUGUUGAUUUUUUCUUUUUUUCUUCGAUUUUCAGUCGCUUACCCUCCCCUCCCAUUUCGUUUCACUUCCUUUAAGUCCCCCACUGAUUAAAAUUUUCCCUCAUUUUCCUAUUAUUUUUCCUUUCUCCCUGCAUUUUUUACACAAACGGCCACCACUCCAAUACCGAACGCCAACGCACACUGUCGCACACUACUAUCGCCACCGCACACACUGGGAAUAUUUGAGACUGAUUCAUACUCGAUCAGACACAACUUCAUAAUUAUCUCAAAGGCAUCAAUCACAAUUCCCUACUUGGUUCAAAGAUCAUGUUUACUCACUGCAUCAAAGAAGAGAAGCAUCUGAUGAUCUUUACUCAAUAUCACUUGGUCCUUGUAAUCAAGUCCGCUCCUACAAUGGUUGCAUUGUCAAUGGAAUUUGUUUUCACUAUAUUGAUCGUGACAAUAAAAGAUCAACUCAAAAUAGUGGCAUCAUGGUGCCUGGAGAAACAGAAGGAAUUGAAUGUAAUUACUAUGGUAUACUAGUUGAUGUAUUGGACUUAGAAUAUAGCAAUAGAAGACGUGUGAUCCUUUUCAAAUGUAAGUGGUUUGACACAGAACCUAAGAAAAAUAAAGUACGACAAGAUUUAGGGUCCAUGUCAAUAAAUACAUCUCAUUAUUGGUAUACAGAUGAGCCCUUCAUCUUUGCAACUCAAGCCAAACAAGUCUUUUACAUCAACGACAAUAAACUUGGCACACCACUAUUUAUGACCCUAAAAUUUGAUAUAUGGCGCUCCAACAAUCUAAGUUAUUUACGUAUCUUCCAUCUUUGCGUUAUUUAUGUUUAUGACCCUAAAAUUUAGAGAAAUGUACUAUAUAA